rnacentral:rRNA from 1 species
GCACAAGCAGCGGAGCGUGUUGGUUUAAUUCGUUGCUACACGAAGUAACCUUACCUGGGUUUGACAUAUAGGUUGUAGGGAACUGAAAAGGGACCGACCCUUCGGGGAGCCUAUACAGGUGUUGCAUGGCUGUCGUCAGCUCGUGUCGUGAGAUGUUCGGUUAAGUCCGCUAACGAGCGCAACCCUCGUCGUAUGUUAUAUGUGUCAUACGAGACUGCCGGUAAAAAGCCGGAGGAAGGUGAGGAUGAUGUCAAGUUAGCAUGACCUUUAUAUCCAGGGCUACACACACGCUACAAUGGUCUGUACAAUGGGUAGCCAAGCCGCGAGGCGGAGCCAAUCCUGAAAGCAGGCCUCAGUUCAGAUUGCAGUCUGCAACUCGACUGCAUGAAGCCGGAGUUGCUAGUAACCGCAGGUCAGCUAUACUGCGGUGAAUACGUUCCCGGGGCUU